rnacentral:rRNA from 1 species
AUGAUGCAGCCCAAAACCGUCCCCUCCUCCGAGAGGCGCACCCAUCGCGGCGGACAGGUCGCGCCGUACAGGUCUCCGGUGUAUAGGUUCAUGGCGUCCCGAUCGCGAUUCUCGAUGGAACCAGUGUCUGCAACGACGCGGCCAAGGACUGGCUCCUCCUUCAUGAGGCGCACGUCCCCGACAAAUAGGUCAAUAGUAAACAGUUUACAGGCGUACAGGCUUUGCACCAUGUUUCUUAGAGGAGACGGGGUGGCGGAAUCGGAGCUUAGUGACCACUCGGCCCGGGACUCACUUCCCCCUUCAUGGCGUACAGAUCUUUGGUCGAACCAGAGUUUGCAGCGACACAAUACAAGACCGGUCCCUCCUUCUAGAGGUGCACCUACCGUGGCGAACAGGUCCUUGGAGUACAGGUCCACGGCGUCGCCGGCGUACAGGUCACCCUUUGGUGUAGCACCAGCCCAAGGCGACGCGGCCUCUAAAAUGCCACCUUUUCCACGGCCUUGUCUACAUCAACGAGCUCGCAUUUUUGUCAUCUUCAAGCAACGCCGCCACCCGGCGACACUCAAAUCUACUCCGACUUCUACAUCAACACACUCCCCCAACCCCGUCCAAGCUCCGACGAGGCGAAGCCACUUCAUCGACAUGUCUCCUUCCGAUGAAGCUAUCCAUAUCUUGCCGGGCACCGACGAGGCGAAGGCAAGACACACCGUGUCUGACACCGACGAGGCGGACACCACCAGGCCGGGCACCGACGAGGCGGACACCACCAGGCCGGGCACCGACGAGGCGAAGGCAAGACACACCGUGUCUGACACCGACGAGGCGGACACCACCAGGCCGGGCACCGACGAGGCCAAGGCCGACCAUCUGUCUGAGCUGACGAGGCCAGACGUCUUCAUCAUCGGACAUCGACAAGCCGGAGGGAUGUGA